rnacentral:rRNA from 1 species
GAAUGCUAUCGGUCAAAGCUCGUCCUUGUGGCGUGGCUCGGUUGAUGCUUCCUAUCUUCCAGUAGUGGGGUUAAACUCAUUCUGGAUCAUUUACUUUGAAAAAAUUAGAGUGUUUAAAGCAAGCUAACGCUUGAAUACAUUAGCAUGGAAUAAUGAAAUAGGACGUUCGAUCCUAUUUUGUUGGUUUCUAGGAUUGACGUA